GAUGAACGCUGGCGGCGUGCCUAAUACAUGCAAGUCGAGCGAACAGACGAGGAGCUUGCUCCUCUGACGUUAGCGGCGGACGGGUGAGUAACACGUGGAUAACCUACCUAUAAGACUGGGAUAACUUCGGGAAACCGGAGCUAAUACCGGAUAAUAUAUUGAACCGCAUGGUUCAAUAGUGAAAGACGGUUUUGCUGUCACUUAUAGAUGGAUCCGCGCCGCAUUAGCUAGUUGGUAAGGUAACGGCUUACCAAGGCAACGAUGCGUAGCCGACCUGAGAGGGUGAUCGGCCACACUGGAACUGAGACACGGUCCAGACUCCUACGGGAGGCAGCAGUAGGGACUCUUCCGCAAUGGGCGAAAGCCUGACGGAGCAACGCCGCGUGAGUGAUGAAGGUCUUCGGAUCGUAAAACUCUGUUAUUAGGGAAGAACAAAUGUGUAAGUAACUAUGCACGUCUUGACGGUACCGAAUCAGAAAGCCACGGCUAACUACGU
rnacentral:rRNA from 1 species